AAAAAAUAUGACUUUGCUUUAACCAUCACACAUCUGUGUGUCUUCUUACUGCCCAUGCCAUGUUUCCUCCUCAGAACCCUGCCCUGCUGGAGCUAAACCUGUGCAUUCAGAUGGAGAACUCUCAGGUCCAUCUCCAGCACCACAUCUGCCUGCCUGCCACCAAGCUUCCUGACAUGAUGUCAAUGGACUAAACCUCUGAAACUGUAAGCCAGCUCCAAUUAAAUGCUUUCCUUUAUCAGAGUUGCCGUGGUCAUGGUGUCUCUUCACAGCAAUAGAACACUGACACCUACAAUCAGGAAAAAAAAAUGAUUGCUAUCAACUAGAAUAGAAGAUGAGCAAUAGGCAAAUGAGAAAUGUGAAUAGAUAAAAAUUAUCUGAAAACAUGGUCAAAUCCAGCAAACACCAAGUCAGGUGCUGUAAUCUGCAAGAAGAAGCUGUGGGGAUGAGAAAAGCAGCUCUGUCUGAGAGGAUGGUGCAGAGGGCAUGUGGUAGAGUCUCGCUGACAGGUAGCUUUCUGCAUCCUUCUGUCCUCCUUGGCACUGAGCCUUUCCCAGACCUUCAAGAGAUGUGAAGAGAAACUCUCUACUCUUUAUGUUGGCGCACUUCGAUCUCCUGUAACCACGUCGUGUAUGUCCACAGUAAUUAUUUUCAUGUAAAAAAAUGCAGAGAACUGUGGCCACCUCAGUUUUUUCUAAAUUCAUUUUCAUCGUAUGCUGAAAGUAUUAUUUUAUUCGUGGCAUGCCCAGUGAAAAUGCUCACGUGAAGAUAUAUAGAUGUGAAUAAACCCCCUGAUGCACACUGCCUUACAAAUACGAGCACUCUGAACUUUGAAAGUCC
rnacentral:lncRNA from 1 species